rnacentral:lncRNA from 1 species
UCAACCGCUGAUCCAGAAAAGGAGCCAGUCCUGGUCACUGCAAACACAAUUUUGUCAAUCCUUGCAGCUGACUACCCUGUUGAGAAGCUUGCAUGUUAUGUGUCCGAUGAUGGAGGCGCACUGCUCACCUUCGAGGCAAUGGCUGAGGCAGCAAGCUUUGCUAAUCUCUGGGUGCCAUUCUGCAGGAAGCAUGACAUUGAACCCAGGAACCCAGACAGCUACUUCAACCUGAAGAGAGAUCCUUUCAAGAACAAAGUGAAGGCAGACUUUGUCAAGGACAGGAGAAGGAUCAAGCGUGAGUAUGACGAGUUCAAGAUCCGCGUUAACGGCUUGCCAGAUGCCAUCCGCCGCCGCUCUGAUGCAUACCAUGCCCGUGAGGAAAUCCAGGCAAUGAACCUUCAGAGGGAAAAGAUAAAGGCUGGAAGCGAUGAGCAAUUUGAGCCAGUGAAGAUUCCAAAGGCAACAUGGAUGGCUGACAGUACUCACUGGCCCGGUACAUGGCUCCAUUCAUCACAAGAUCAUGCAAGAGGAGAUCAUGCAGGAAUCAUACAGGUACUGCACUACUGCUUAAUGAUAGUAUAAACGAGAUUUCAGUGUAGACCUAUAUUUACAUGAUUUUUAUUCUAUAUCACAGGUUAUGCUUAAACCACCUAGUGACAUGCCAAUGUAUGGGAACAUUGAAAAGUCACCCCUUGACUUUUCAGUAGUGGAUACACGACUUCCAAUGCUGGUGUACAUGUCACGAGAGAAGCGCCCGGGAUAUGAUCACAACAAAAAAGCAGGUGCCAUGAACGCACUGGUUCGUGCAUCAGCCAUCAUGUCCAAUGGUCCCUUCAUUCUUAAUCUGGACUGUGAUCACUACGUCUACAACUCAAAGGCCUUCAGGGAGGGCAUGUGCUUCAUGAUGGACCGUGGUGGUGACCGCCUCUGCUAUGUGCAGUUCCCUCAGCGGUUUGAAGGCAUUGACCCCUCUGAUCGAUAUGCUAACCAUAAUACUGUUUUCUUCGAUAUCAACAUGCGAGCUCUUGAUGGUCUGCAAGGACCAGUGUAUGUUGGUACAGGAUGCCUCUUCCGCAGAAUUGCCCUUUAUGGCUUUGACCCACCCCGUUCCAAGGAUCACAGCCCAGGCUUCUGCGGUUGCUGCCUCCCACGCCGCCGAAAGGCAUCUGCUUCCGAUGCUAACCCUGAGGAGACAAUGGCUCUCCGCAUGGGUGAUUUUGAUGGGGACAGCAUGAACCUUGCCACAUUCCCGAAGAAAUUUGGAAAUUCAAGCUUUCUGAUUGACUCCAUCCCAGUAGCAGAGUUCCAGGGAAGGCCCUUGGCUGACCAUCCAUCUAUCAAGAAUGGGCGUCCACCUGGUGCUCUAACAAUUCCACGUGAAAUGCUGGAUGCAUCCAUUGUGGCAGAAGCAAUCAGUGUGGUCUCGUGUUGGUAUGAGGAGAAGACAGAGUGGGGGACUCGUGUGGGGUGGAUCUAUGGCUCUGUCACUGAGGAUGUUGUGACAGGGUACCGUAUGCAUAAUCGUGGAUGGAAGUCGGUGUACUGUGUCACACAACGUGAUGCCUUCCGUGGCACUGCUCCUAUCAAUCUCACAGAUCGUCUACACCAGGUGCUUCGAUGGGCUACUGGUUCUGUCGAGAUUUUUUUCUCCCGGAACAAUGCAUUGUUUGCUAGCUCCAAAAUGAAGGUAGAUGCCCCUCAAGAAUUUCUAUUUCUUACUAGUGUAGACUCAUUAAAAUUAUGACUAACUUUUGAUGCUUUAACAGGUACUACAAAGGAUUGCAUACCUUAACGUUGGUAUAUAUCCCUUCACAUCCAUCUUCCUCAUUGUCUACUGCUUCCUUCCAGCACUCUCCCU